AGAGUUGGUCUGAGUGCAAGGGUUAAUUCCCGGGUGUGCGGGUGUGAGUCGCUGACUGUGAUUCACUCAUGAUGCCGUGUGUGUGCAGAGAUUUUUUUUAAUCUUUAUACUUUUGUUUUUGAAAUAAUUUCCAUGGUGUGUGUCUAUCUGGAUUCUUGCUCUAUCGGGCUUGCUGUUCCUGUUCUGUCCGACUUUCUGUUCCUGCUCUGUUCGAACGCCCAACCUGUUCCUCUUUUGUCCGACUACCUGUUCCUGUUCUGUCAGACUUCCUGUUCUUUCUGACUUGCUGUUCAUGUUGUGUCCGACUUACUGUUUCUGCUCUAUCCGACUUCCUGUUCCGUUUGACUUCCCGACCUGUUCUAGAUAAGUUGCUGUUCUGUCAGACUUUCUGAUCCUGUUCAAAUUCCCGAUCUGUUCCUGUACUGUCAGAUUUUCUGUUCCUGUUCGGUUGCUGUUAUGUCGGACUUCCUGUUUCUGUUCUGUUGGACUUCAUGUUCCUGUUAGAGGUGUUUAGGGUUUAUACACAGCUGUCACUUUUGAACUGACCUCUCCACGGAGCGCAGCUUCACUUGCUUCAAGUCUUUGAGUACAUCCAACAUGGAGGGCGUGCUCUGAACAGCUUUGAGCUGUUUCGUGUCCGUGUCCUUCCCGUGACACUUGCGUCGUCGGAUCAGCUCGCCUACGGACGACGAGCUGGGACAUAGCGGCGGAGGAGGAGGAAGAGGCGGCGGAGGAGGAGGAGGCGGGGGAGCACAGCAAGGUGUGGAUGUGAGAGCCGCAGGUGACAUCAACGGCGUUCCGAUUGCAUUUUGGGACUCUGGGAGAUCUACAAGUGUUGAAAACAUCUACAAAUGAGUAUUGUUGUAUCCUCUCUUUGUAUGUGUUGCUGCCCUGUGUGUGUUAAAAUAGCAGUUGCUUGAAGCUUUAUAUUCACUGUGACAUCUAUGUGCAUUGCCUUUAGCCCAUUUAUGGCUAAGAAAAAUAAGUUGAAAAAAAAUAUUUUAAAAAUUGGCAAAAAUCUGGGAAUUUUUUUUCUUUUCUUGCGUACCCGUGGCCUGAGUGGCAGUAACAAGAAUGGCUAUCUGAGCUUGCAGCUUGAACAGUUCGCUCUCCAGCGCAGAGAUCUUCUCCAAGGCUUCCGGGUUUGUCUUUUGGCCAACGCAUCCGCCUCCCACCAGUCGUCGUCCUGGAGGCUUCUUUAGUGGUAGAUGGUGCCUAAGAACGUGCAAAUUGAUCAACAAAUGAUAGCAAGUAGCCGGUGUUUUGUUUGUGUUCAUCAUGGUACCUGGUCUUGGCAAAACCAUUCUCUUCAUCCUCAAGUACCCACAGAACGUCAGCGAAUGAUGGGAUGGCUGACGUUUCCAUGGCGACAUCCAUGUAUCCGUGCGGGCUGGAGGUGAGGAGCGGGAGCUGAUGUGCCAAAUGCGGAAGGAAUGUAACGACAAUGAAAAGUUGGAAUUGAAUUAGAUGACAUAUUAAAUCAAAUUUUAUUGUAUUACCGGUAUAUAACUGUAAAUAAAGGCACAUUGUUGAAUAAACAA